UUAUAGUCAAAAGCUGUUGUGGUGUUGUUGUAGGCUUAUAGUUGAGCAUUAUUUUCUUAAAUUUCUUGAAUGUUCUUUAUGGUAGUGUUACUAAAAAGUUUAUGAUCACAUUUUCAUUGUGAACAUAAUUUGAACUCAUUAUCACACACUUGGAAAAUACAGAAAAGUGGAGGAAAAAAAAUCAUAUCCCCACCAUCCAAAGACAUAUACUCUCCUCUAUCUUGUUCAUUCUUGUUUCUGUGCACAGGUUUUUGGUUUGUUAAUAUGGUUGUGGUCAUUCUAUCUGUAAUAGUGUCAACAAUAAAAAUAAAGUU
rnacentral:sRNA from 1 species